GGGCCUGUAGCUCAGUCCGGUUAGAGCGCCACUCUGAUAAAGUGGAGGUCCCUGGUUCGAGUCCAGGCAGGCCCA
rnacentral:tRNA from 1 species